ACAAACGCACUGACUCAGACUUUUCUCCCAAGCCUACUAUUUUCCUUCCUUCUGCUGCUGAAACAAAUCUCCAUAAGGCUGGGACCUACCUUUGUCUCCUUGAAAAGUUCUUUCCUGAAGUCAUAAGGGUGUAUUGGAAAGAAAAGGAUGGUGAAAAGAUUCUGGAAUCCCAGGAAGGAAACACCAUAAAAACUAAUGACAGAUACAUGAAAUUUAGUUGGCUGACGGUGACUGAAGAUUCAAUGGCUAAAGAACAUAGUUGCAUUGUCAAACACGAAAACAACAAAAGAGGAGUUGACCAAGAGAUUCUGUUUCCUCCCAUAGGUAAAGCUUUCACAACUAUUAAUGUUAAUCCCAGAGAUAGUGUUUUGCGGCAUGAAAAUGUUAACAAUGCUACUGAUCUGGAAGAUUGCAUGAAAGGAAGAAAGGAUAUGUUGCAGCUUCAGGUCACCACCACCUAUGCAUUCUACACCUACCUCAUCCUGUUCUUCAAGAGCAUGGUCCACUUGGCCUUCGUUGUAUUCUGUCUAUUCAGAAGAGCAGCCAUGUCCUGUGAUGAUCAACGUUCAUAA